rnacentral:lncRNA from 1 species
GAGAGAAGAGUCAGAAGACUUCAGAAAGAAAGGUGUGGCAGAAGAAAGAGGAGACUGGGAAAUCACAUCUCAAUCAGGAACACAAAGCAGAUGUCACAAACUAGAAACGGUAUCACAAUUUUAAUCUCAAAGUUGACCCAGUAAUAGGCUUCGUCAAGCAUGGUUGCAUCACCCAUGCAUUAUUGCCUCUAUGAGUAACAUAUAUCAUAAUAUAUUUGUGGAUGUCAUAACAUUAUGUUAUAUAUUUAUGUUAUAUAAUUUCUUUUCCAUGGGUCUAUUGUUGGACAAAUGAACUAUAUUUACCAAUUUUUAAAACAUUUUCAAUGAUAAUAUUAUAAAUGCACCUAUGUAUACACAUCCCACACAUAAAUAUAAACACACACACACACACACACACACACACACACACACACAAACAUGUAAAUAGGUGCCUAUGCCUACUUUAAACUUACUGGUGUACAUGGUUAUAAGUAGACUUAUGGGGAUAUAUGACAAUUUCAUGUUUCAAUUUUGUAUAUCUACCAAAAUCAUAUAUAUAGAAGAAUGAACCCCUUUUAAUUUCUGCCAGAAAUAUAUUAACAUGUUUGUAAAUGUUUAUUUUCUAAAAGUAAUAUGACCAUGCUAUAGGGUAUGAAGAUCCUUUAUUGUGGUUUAGAUUAUUUUUCUCUACAGAAGAAAGUUCUAAAAUAUCUCUUCAUGCACUUACUGAGCUUUUGAUACUUUCUUUUUUGUCUAUUUGUAAAUUGAUUUAGCUAUCCAUCGAAUUGAACAACCCAUUAUGGAUUUAAUGUUUGGCUUCUCCACUUCUACAAAAACAGCUGUU